GUCAAGUUAGCACAACUUCCACUUUAGUCUAUUUUUUUUUAAUAAUAAUAGAUGACUAAAGUGAACCUAAAAAGAAACAACCACAUCAAAAAGUCCCCAAAACAAAAAAAGAGUUAGGGUUUCGUUCUUCUUCAAUCUUGCAAGCCACUGGUUCUUCGACCUUCAUUCUUCUUCAAUCAUGACUUUUCUUCUGUUGCAUAUCAAAGACAAGCAGUGAUCCAUUGGUAUUUUAGUGAGACUCGAUAUGAUCAAGAGAUUUUUCAAGCCGCAAACCUCUUCAGGGAGAUGCUUCGAGAUGAUCAAGCAGAAAAAUUAGAGGAACUACUAGUGCUUGGUGAAGUUCAUACAGGAAGCGGUUUAAAUCAAGAACUUGGAUUUCAAAGGGCAGGUGAUACUCGGCGGGGUUCUCAUUUUAAGACAGUGCGUAAUUUUAUUAGUUUAUUCUCAUCAAUUGUUCAUGUAUUUGGAGUUCUUGCAAUUGAUGGUUCAAAUUAUCAUGAGAGAUCAAUGGCAAAAAGUCUAGUAGAUGACAUAAGAUUCUAUGACAUUGUGUAUAUGUUACAUUUAAUGUUGAAAGUAUUGGCACUUACAUAUGAUUUAAGUAUGGCUUUGCAAAAAAAAGAACAAGAUAUUGUAAGUGCAAUGAAGCUUGUUGGUUUCGCAAAGAGACAAUUGUAAGAUAUAAGAGAUUCUAGAUGGAAUUCUUUGAUAAAAGACGUCUAUUUAUUUUGUGUCAAGCAUGGUAUUGUGAUCCCCGGAAUGGAUAUGAAUUAUGUUCGUGGAAAGUCAAAGCGUAAGAAAUCAAGUGUUACAUAUUCUUAUCAUUUGCGUGUAGAGGUUUUCUAUGCUAUUAUUGAUUUGCAACUUUCGGAGCUUAACAAUUGUUUCAAUUAAGUGAAUACUGAUCUACUUCUUGGUAUGGCUAGUUUGAGUCCAGAUAAUUCUUUUGCAAAUUAUGAUAAAGACAAGAUUAUGAAACCUGCUACACACUGCCCGAAUGAGUUCACUGAUUCUAUGCUUGAGGAUCUUAGUUUUGAGCUUGACAUCUAUAUUGACUAUGUGCGAGAGGCGGACAAUGAUUUCUCUAACUUGAAAAGACUUGGAGAUCUUUCAAAGACAUUGGUUAAAAUAAAUUUGCACAUACUUAGAGACUUGUUUAUUUGCUUGUGAAGUUAAGUCUGAUAUUACAUGUCGCUACUGCAACGGUAGAAAGAGCUUUUUCUUCGAUGAAGCACGUUAAAAAUGACUUGCGAGGCAGAAUUGGUGAUGAAUUUUUUAAUGAUUGUUUAGUUUGUUAUAUAGAGGAUGAAGUAUUUGAAAGUGUACCUAAUGAUGCGAUCAUUGAUCGUUUUUAAAACAUGACAAGUCGUCGAGUACAAUUGUAAUGAUAAUAUUUAUAUUUAUAUGUUGUCUUUAAGUGUUUUGUUAUUUUCUAAAUAUAUGUUGGAUAUUGAUACUCGUUCCUUAAUUCGGUUAUUGUAAUAUAUUGACUUAAAAUUGCGGUAGGAACUCAUACACUUCAAUUUCUAGAUUACGGUUGACCGGUCUCUGAAACAACGCCAAAUAGUUAGCAACAACUAUUGAUCUGUGUUAGCAAGUAAUUGUGUAAGUCUUAGGAAUUUGAUUCCAGAUUACUUAGGCAAAGAUUUCUUCUGAAUAUAAUAGCAGAUAUGGAGAUAGGACAUGACCAUUUGUGGGAGCAGUAAAAAUCGAUACAAUAUCUGCUGACUUAAGGAAAUUAAUUUCACGCCAUGCAACUUGCUCCAACUAAAUAUAGAGAAAUAUACAUUUGAAACAUAAUUGCGAUCUUGGUCAUGCAACUCAGAUUGAUGUGAAUAUGGAACCAGAUUUAAGCCGUAUAAAACCUUUACCAUACAAACAUUUUAUUUUUUAAUUUUUGGGUCCUAUUUAAUGGGAACUGAUUCCACCAAGCACUUAGCCUCUUUGGCUUCCACCAAUAAUAAGCUGAUUCUUGUACUGUAUACUGAGGUACUAUCUGUCCCUAGUGUUUAUUUUCUUUUCUUUUAUGCUUUUUUUUGGUUAUUUAUACAUAUAUUUUUUUAACCAACCCAUUUGGAUAUUAUGAUUGUUUGGUUGUUGUAUACAUUUAUAUUUAGUCCAUUGCAUCGAUCUGGCUGGUGCAGAUUUGUGUAGCUCCCAAUUUCCGGUUUAGCAUCACUAGGUGGUCCUAUAUUUUAUUCUGUAGAUCCCAUUUCGUGUGUUAAUUAUUUAGAAGCCCAAAAAUGGAUAGAUUGCAUUUUCUUCUAGAGUGACAAAGAAAGCACGAAGACAAAGACUGGUGUCAGACACAUAGUCCGCAUUUUAAUUAAAGUAAUACUAAUAAGGAGAGGAAGGGAUUACCUAAGUAAAUUUCAUGGGCAGUUAUUCAACUUUGUGUUCAUUACCCAAAAGUCAUUUUUCUUUCUUUUAUUACGUAAAAUUCAUUCAAUUUUGUGUUUAUUGCCCAAAAGUCAUUUUUCUUUCUUUUGUUAAACAAAAAUAAUUUUAUUAUGUUCUAGUUAUCACAAUAGUCAUUUUGAUCAAAUUUUACAAACCUUUCACCUAAAAAAUCUAUUAUGCAGUUGACAUUAUAAAUCCUCUCAUUUAUGCAACACCGUCUAUAUUAUAAUAUACUUUUACCCAAGUAUUUUAAUUAUGAUUAAAAUGACUUUAUAUUA